GACGAACGCUGGCGGCGUGCCUAACACAUGCAAGUCGAACGAUGAACCCGGAGCUUGCUCCGGUGGAUUAGUGGCGAACGGGUGAGUAACACGUGAGUAACCUGCCCUUGACUCUGGGAUAACUGCGGGAAACUGUAGCUAAUACCGGAUACGACCCUCGGCGGCAUCGCCAGGGGGUGGGAAGAAUUUCGGUCAAGGAUGGACUCGCGGCCUAUCAGCUAGUUGGUGAGGUAACGGCUCACCAAGGCGACGACGGGUAGCCGGCCUGAGAGGGUGACCGGCCACACUGGGACUGAGACACGGCCCAGACUCCUACGGGAGGCAGCAGUGGGGAAUAUUGCACAAUGGGCGCAAGCCUGAUGCAGCAACGCCGCGUGAGGGAUGACGGCCUUCGGGUUGUAAACCUCUUUUAGUAGGGAAGAAGCGAAAGUGACGGUACCUGCAGAAAAAGCACCGGCUAACUACGUGCCAGCCGCCGCAGUAA
rnacentral:rRNA from 1 species